rnacentral:rRNA from 1 species
UACAGAGGGGGCAAGCGUUAUUCGGAAUUAAUGGGCGUAAAGGGCGCGUAGGCGGCUUGGCAAGUGGAUGGUGAAAUCCCUCGGCUUAACCGAGGAACUGCCAUCCAGACUGCUUUGCUUGAGGCCGGGAGAGGUGAGUGGAAUUCCCAGUGUAGCGGUGAAAUGCGUAGAUAUUGGGAGGAACACCAGUGGCGAAGGCGGCUCACUGGACCGGUUCUGACGCUGAGGCGCGAAAGCGUGGGGAGCAAACGGG